GUUAUGAAUGCAGCAAAUCACACCCCAAGACAAACAAAUACAGACUGCCAUGAAAGUGACAUAAGCUUUGAGUCCAGUCCAGCUGUCUCUAGCCUUUCUUUACUUGAGAGACAAGUGAACUACACCUCCAGUCCAACUGGAGCACACCAGGACAAACACCAGGGAGCACACCAGGUCACAAACUACAGAGCACACCAGGGAGCACACCAGGACACACACUACGGAGCGCACCAGGACACAC